UACGAGGGGUGCAAGCGUUGCUCGGAAUUAUUGGGCGUAAAGGGUAGGUAGGUGGUCUUAUUUGUCUGGGGUGAAAGCCUUGAGCUUAACUCAAGAAGUGCCCCAGAAACGGUAAGACUAGAGUCUUGGAGAGGGUCGUGGAAUUCCCGGUGUAGCGGUGAAAUGCGUAGAGAUCGGGAGGAACACCAGCGGCGAAGGCGGCGACCUGGACAAGUACUGACACUCAACUACGAAAGCCGUGGGGGAGCAAACAGG
rnacentral:rRNA from 1 species